GAACGCUGGCGGCAGGCUAACACAUGCAAGUCGAGCGGCCACGGAGAAGCUUGCUUCUGGUGGCGAGCGGCGGACGGGUGAGUAAUGCAUAGAAAUCUGCCCGGUAGUGGGGGAUAACCUGGGGAAACCAGCUAAUACCGCAUACGUCCUACGGGAGAAAGCAGGGGCUCUUCGGACCUUGCGCUAUUGGAUGAGUCUAUGUCGGAUUAGCUUGUUGGUGAGGUAAUGGCUCACCAAGGCGACGAUCCGUAGCUGGUCUGAGAGGAUGAUCAGCCACAUCGGGACUGAGACACGGCCCGAACUCCUACGGGAGGCAGCAGUGGGGAAUAUUGGACAAUGGGCGGAACUGAUCCAGCCAUGCCGCGUGUGUGAAGAAGGCCUUCGGGUAGAAAAGCACUUUCAGUGGGGAAGAAAGCCUAGGGCUAAUACCCUCGAGGAAGGACAUCACCCACAGAAGAAGCACCGGCUAACUCCGUGCCAGCAGCCGCGGUAAUACGGAGGGUGCGAGCGUUAAUCGGAAUUACUGGGCGUAAGGCGCGCGUAGGCGGUCUGAUAAGCCGGUUGUGAAAGCCCCGGGCUCAACCUGGGAACGGCAUCCGGAACUGUCAGGCUAGAGUGCAGGAGAGGAAGGUAGAAUUCCCGGUGUAGCGGUGAAAUGCGUAGAGAUCGGGAGGAAUACCAGUGGCGAAGGCGGCCUUCUGGACUGACACUGACGCUGAGGUGCGAAAGCGUGGGUAGCAGACAGGAUUAGAUACCCUGGUAGUCCACGCCGUAAACGAUGUCGACUAGCCGUUGGGCUCCUUGAGAGCUUUGUGGCGCAGUUAACGCGAUAAGUCGACCGCCUGGGGAGUACGGCCGCAAGGUUAAAACUCAAAUGAAUUGACGGGGGGCCGCACAAGCGGUGGAGCAUGUGGUUUAAUUCGAUGCAACGCGAAGAACCUUACCUACCCUUGACAUCGUGCGAACUUUCCAGAGAUGGAUUGGUGCUUCGGGAACGCACAGACAGGUGCUGCAUGGCUGUCGUCAGCUCGUGUUGUGAAAUGUUGGGUUAAGUCCCGUAACGAGCGCAACCCUUGUCCUUAUUUGCCAGCGCGUAAUGGCGGGAACUCUAAGGAGACUGCCGGUGACAAACCGGAGGAAGGUGGGGACGACGUCAAGUCAUCAUGGCUUACGGGUAGGGCUACACACGUGCUACAAUGGCCGGUACAAAGGGUUGCGAAGCCGCGAGGUGGAGCUAAUCCCGAAAAGCUGGUCUCAGUCCGGAUCGGAGUCUGCAACUCGACUCCGUGAAGUCGGAAUCGCUAGUAAUCGUGAAUCAGAAUGUCACGGUGAAUACGUU
rnacentral:rRNA from 1 species